AUUGAACGCUGGCGGCAUGCCUUACACAUGCGAGUCGAACGGCAGCGGACCUUCGGGUGCCGGCGAGUGGCGAACGGGUGAGUAAUGCAUCGGAACGUGCCAUUGAGUGGGGGAUAACGUAGCGAAAGUUACGCUAAUACCGCAUAUUCUGUGAGCAGGAAAGCAGGGGACCGCAAGGCCUUGCGCUCUUUGAGCGGCCGAUGUCAGAUUAGCUAGUUGGUGAGGUAAAGGCUUACCAAGGCGACGAUCUGUAGCGGGUCUGAGAGGAUGAUCCGCCACACUGGAACUGAGACACGGUCCAGACUCCUACGGGAGGCAGCAGUGGGGAAUUUUGGACAAUGGGCGCAAGCCUGAUCCAGCCAUGCCGCGUGAGUGAAGAAGGCCUCGGUUGG
rnacentral:rRNA from 1 species